rnacentral:rRNA from 1 species
UGGCUCAGGACGAACGCUGGCGGCGUGCUUAACACAUGCAAGUCGAACGGGGCGAAGUGAUAGCUUGCUAUUAUGGAGCCUAGUGGCAAACGGGUGAGUAACGCGUAGGCAACCUGCCCUUCAGAUGGGGACAACACCUCGAAAGGGGUGCUAAUACCGAAUGACGUUUCCUGGUCGCAUGACCUGGAAACCAAAGGCCGGGCAACCGGUCACUGAAGGAUGGGCCUGCGUCUGAUUAGCUAGUUGGUGGGGUAACGGCCCACCAAGGCGACGAUCAGUAGCCGGUCUGAGAGGAUGAACGGCCACAUUGGGACUGAGACACGGCCCAAACUCCUACGGGAGGCAGCAGUGGGGAAUAUUGGGCAAUGGGGGAAACCCUGACCCAGCAACGCCGCGUGAGGGAAGAAGGUUCUCGGAUUGUAAACCUCUGUCCUAAGAGAAGAGGGGAAGACGGUAUCUUAGGAGGAAGCCCCGGCUAACUACGUG